CUGGUUAACCUGAUUACCAUCAGAUCCACUUAAGCAGGGGAGAGAUGUUGCUGUUCUUGUUUGACUGAAGAUGAUUUCAGGACGGCUGUUGUUGAUGUUUGUAGCCGCUGCAAUGGCACAAAAUGAUUUGUCUGUAGACUGCGGCGGCGAUGAUUCGGUCACUGUCCGCUGGAGACCCGGACUGAACUAGUCUCAGAAACUGGAUCCGUUCAGAGCUUUGCUGGGAAACUGUCUGCCGAGCUUCACGGUGUCUGACGACACGCUGCUCUUCUACGUGUUACUGCGAGACUGUGGCUUUCUCAAACAGGUGACGGCGGACAGAGUCACGUACUCCAACAUGCUGAUCUAUGACCGGCGGCCGGAGCUGCCUUUCAUUUCCCAAUCGGUCCAGUGCAUCUAUGACCCGUAGGUGAUGAAAAAGUGGCGCACGGGACACCACCGGGACCCCACCAUUAGACUUCUUUUGACUCGAGAGUCGAGACACUAUUUCGGGAGCGAAAGAUGCGAGAUGCGUGCGCAAAUGUAGCGCAGUGGAGUACGUGGAAAACGCGUGAAAACUCUUAACCUGGCUUAAUGUUUUAAAAGACAACCAGGGAUAAUCAUUUUUCUCACAUUUCAUUUGUCAUAAACACUGUAGCUGUCUGGUAGUACUUUCGUUUAGUGUUUUUCUCUGUAAACAUUUACAAUGUCGGUAAGUGUAUGAUGCCUAAUGUUUUCAAAGUGGUUCACAUUUUAGUUCUCAAUUCAUGUAUAAUUUCAUUUCAUUCAUCAAAAUACUAAUGAUUCUAGCAAAUAUAAGUGAAUUGCUAAAAAAAAAAAAAUUGAUCAUUCAUUUAUGGUGGGGCCAAUGAUGGUGUUGGCAGGGCAAGUAAAAAUCUAAACUAUUGGGAUGGCAGAAUAAAAAUCAUUUUAGUUGAUGUUUGAUAUUAAACAGAUUUGUCCCUAGUCUAAUUUUCACUAUCCAAAAAAAGUUAAUGGAGUCAUGUUAGUAACCCUGACCAUAGUGUCUAACUUAAAGUCAGCAAGUUCCGAACAAGUUGAUUUUGCGGUUUAAUUUCAAGAAAUUCUAUUUAUUUAUUUUUUUGAGAAGAUGUUGAGUUUUAAAUUUACAGUGUAUUUCCAGUAAACUUGUUUUUCAGAAGUAUGAGAAAUUUGAUUGAUCUAUUAGGAUAUGAGCCUUUGAAUGCAUUUAUCUUGACUGUGGUUGAAUCCUGGAGGAAUGUUUUUCCUUCAAGAGCUCCAGCAUGUGAACUAUUAAAGCCCAUCUGAUAGCAGCGAGAGCAGCACUUUCAGCUUUCCAAUCAGAUGGCCAGUGCUGCUCUGAAGUGAAGAGGGCCGAGCAUCUUAUCAGCUUUCCCAGGCUGGACACGGCAUCCUCUUGAGAAGACCGCAGUUCUGAAGCACUGAGCUCCUUAUCAAGAAUGGGCUUGUAUAGUGUAGCCAAUAUUAGACUGUCAGUCACCGUCUGGGGUCAUGGACAUUUCUGUUUGAGAAACUGCUCUGUGGCACAUGCUCAUUGUUGAUGACAGUUGAUGCACUCAGCAAAAAAGUUUCCAAGGUUAGAAGGUCUGCUCAUAUCGGAGUGUGCUAUGUGGUUAAUUAACUCUUGAAAUGUGUUGCAAUAUGUCUGAUGGCUUUUUAAAUUUGUGAAAUCUUACAGCGAGCAGGCUGUCAUGCAUAAGGACCAAACAUGGGGCUGGACAAUAAUUCAAUAUCAAUAUAUGUAUAUAUUUUUUUCAGUAACGGUGAUAUGAUUUUUAAACAUUUCCGAUACUUCAAUAUACAUUAGCAGUGUUUCCCGUUCAUUGACUUAUUUGUGGCAGCACACCACAAUAUCAAC